UGAGAGCGGCGGACGGGUGAGUAAUGCCUAGGAAUCUGCCUGGUAGUGGGGGAUAACGUUCGGAAACGGACGCUAAUACCGCAUACGUCCUACGGGAGAAAGCAGGGGACUUCGGGCCUUGCGCUAUCAGAUGAGCCUAGGUCGGAUUAGCUAGUUGGUGGGGUAAUGGCUCACCAAGGCGACGAUCCGUAACUGGUCUGAGAGGAUGAUCAGUCACACUGGAACUGAGACACGGUCCAGACUCCUACGGGAGGCAGCAGUGGGGAAUAUUGGACAAUGGGCGAAAGCCUGAUCCAGCCAUGCCGCGUGUGUGAAGAAGGUCUUCGGAUUGUAAAGCACUUUAAGUUGGGAGGAAGGGUUGUAGAUUAAUACUCUGCAAUUUUGACGUUACCGACAGAAUAAGCACCGGCUAACUCUGUGCCAGCAGCCGCGGUAAUACAGAGGGUGCAAGCGUUAAUCGGAAUUACUGGGCGUAAAGCGCGCGUAGGUGGUUAGUUAAGUUGGAUGUGAAAUCCCCGGGCUCAACCUGGGAACUGCAUUCAAAACUGACUGACUAGAGUAUGGUAGAGGGUGGUGGAAUUUCCUGUGUAGCGGUGAAAUGCGUAGAUAUAGGAAGGAACACCAGUGGCGAAGGCGACCACCUGGACUGAUACUGACACUGAGGUGCGAAAGCGUGGGGAGCAAAC
rnacentral:rRNA from 1 species